rnacentral:rRNA from 1 species
UACGGAAGGUCCGGGCGUUAUCCGGAUUUAUUGGGUUUAAAGGGAGCGUAGGCCGGAGAUUAAGCGUGUUGUGAAAUGUAGACGCUCAACGUCUGCACUGCAGCGCGAACUGGUUUCCUUGAGUACGCACAAAGUGGGCGGAAUUCGUGGUGUAGCGGUGAAAUGCUUAGAUAUCACGAAGAACUCCGAUUGCGAAGGCAGCUCACUGGAGCGCAACUGACGCUGAAGCUCGAAAGUGCGGGUAUCGAACAGGAUUAGAUACCCCUGUAGACUGACU